rfam:Homo sapiens chromosome 5, GRCh38 reference primary assembly.
AACUCCCCAUUUUUUCCCUGAGUUAAAAGAAUUUCAGGUAUUAAUAGAGAAGAUUAGCGUGGCCCCUGCGCAGGGAUGACACACAAAUUUGUGAAGUAUUCCAUAUUUUA